rnacentral:rRNA from 1 species
GUACGAGAGGACCGGAGUGGACGAACCUCUGGUGUUCCGGUUGUCACGCCAGUGGCAUUGCCGGGUAGCUAUGUUCGGAAAAGAUAACCGCUGAAAGCAUCUAAGCGGGAAACUUGCCUCAAGAUGAGAUCUCACUGGGAACUUGAUUCCCCUGAAGGGCCGUCGAAGACUACGACGUUGAUAGGCUGGGUGUGUAAGCGUUGUGAGGCGUUGAGCUAACCAGUACUAAUUGCCCGUGAGGCUUGACCAUAUAACACCCAAACA